AGACCCGAAACCCGGUGAUCUAGCCAUGGGCAGGUUGAAGGUUGGGUAACACUAACUGGAGGACCGAACCGACUAAUGUUGAAAAAUUAGCGGAUGACCUGUGGCUGGGGGUGAAAGGCCAAUCAAACCGGGAGAUAGCUGGUUCUCCCCGAAAGCUAUUUAGGUAGCGCCUCGUGAAUUCAUCUCCGGGGGUAGAGCACUGUUUCGGCUAGGGGGCCAUCCCGGCUUACCAACCCGAUGCAAACUGCGAAUACCGGAGAAUGUUAUCACGGGAGACACACGGCGGGUGCUAACGUCCGUCGUGAAGAGGGAAACAACCCAGACCGCCAGCUAAGGUCCCAAAGUCAUGGUUAAGUGGGAAACGAUGUGGGAAGGCCCAGACAGCCAGGAUGUUGGCUUAGAAGCAGCCAUCAUUUAAAGAAAGCGUAAUAGCUCACUGGUCGAGUCGGCCUGCGCGGAAGAUGUAACGGGGCUAAACCAUGCACCGAAGCUGCGGCAGCGAACGUAUCACCCAAGACAACUUUACGGAGUUGACGAUUGACGGAGCGAAGCGACGUCAAAGCGUUCAUUAAAGUCGAGUUGGCUUAGGGAUACGUUCGUUGGGUAGGGGAGCGUUCUGUAAGCCUGUGAAGGUGUGUCGUGAGGCAUGCUGGAGGUAUCAGAAGUGCGAAUGCUGACAUAAGUAACGAUAAAGCGGGUGAAAAGCCCGCUCGCCGGAAGACCAAGGGUUCCUGUCCAACGUUAAUCGGGGCAGGGUGAGUCGACCCCUAAGGCGAGGCCGAAAGGCGUAGUCGAUGGGAAACGGGUUAAUAUUCCCGUACUUGGUGUUACUGCGAAGGGGGGACGGAGAAGGCUAUGUUGGCCGGGCGACGGUUGUCCCGGUUUAAGCGUGUAGGUGUGUGUUCCAGGUAAAUCCGGUUCACUUUAACACUGAGGCGUGACGACGAGGCACUACGGUGCUGAAGCAACAAAUGCCCUGCUUCCAGGAAAAGCCUCUAAGCAUCAGGUAACACGAAAUCGUACCCCAAACCGACACAGGUGGUCAGGUAGAGAAUACCAAGGCGCUUGAGAGAACUCGGGUGAAGGAACUAGGCAAAAUGGUGCCGUAACUUCGGGAGAAGGCACGCUGACACGUAGGUGAAGUGAUUUACUCAUGGAGCUGAAGUCAGUCGAAGAUACCAGCUGGCUGCAACUGUUUAUUAAAAACACAGCACUGUGCAAACACGAAAGUGGACGUAUACGGUGUGACGCCUGCCCGGUGCCGGAAGGUUAAUUGAUGGGGUCAGCGCAAGCGAAGCUCCUGAUCGAAGCCCCGGUAAA
rnacentral:rRNA from 1 species